UACGUAGGGGGCUAGCGUUGUCCGGAAUCAUUGGGCGUAAAGCGCGCGUAGGCGGCCCGGUAAGUCCGCUGUAAAAGUCAAAGGCUCAACCUUUGAAUGUCAGUGGAUACUGCCGGGCUAGAGUCCGGAAGAGGCGAGUGGAACUCCUGGUGUAGCGGUGGAAUGCGCAGAUAUCAGGAAGAACACCGACGGCGAAGGCAGCUCGCUGGGACGGUACUGACGCUGAGGCGCGAAAGCGUUGGGAGCGAACAGG
rnacentral:rRNA from 1 species